ACCUAACUGAAGUGUCCCAAAUAGAAUGAAACGCGCGUCCUGGGU
rnacentral:hammerhead_ribozyme from 1 species